AUGCUGGGUGUUAAGAGGAAGCCGUGGGGGCCGAGGGCCGAAGGAGAAAGGGCUGUGUUCUUAUCAGCGGGCUUGCGUUUGGACUCUGGGCUGGCUUUUAGGAGCUGUGCCGAAUGGCGAUGCAGACCGUGUCCUGGAAACACCCCAGAGUCAACCAGGAUGGCAGGGCGUCGUGAUGCCUGGCUCCCGACUUGGCCGUCUCGUCCCCAUUCCCACUGGAAGGGCAGGGGACAGCCACUGCGUGCCCCAGGCUCGGUGCCCGGCAAUGGCACGGCCUUCUUCCUGACGCUUCUCAGCCGAUGCCAUCGAAACAGCCCACUGCCCUCAAGGGGCCCCCUGAGACCUGAGCCGCUCCCACCGGCCCUCCGGCGUCUGGUAGGCAGACCUGGCCCUGCCUCGUGGGCCUGGUGCGGACUGGUGGGGAGGUCCCCCCUCUUCCCUGUGCUCUGUGCCCCUGCUGAGGCUGUUGGGCCGGCUGGGCUGGCUUCUCAGGCCGAGCGGGAGAGCUCACGGAGACAGGUUCUCGGUGCCGCUAGAACCAAAGGAAGGCACGUGUUGUCCGCAGUUCCCUUACGCGCUGGAGCCUCGGCAGGACUGCCUGUCCGGACACCUGGGGCCUUGGCGGUGCCCUCCUGCCACGCGGGUGGCACACCUGCGGGUUGCCGGGAGGUCAGAGAGGCGGUUUCCACCGGCGCGUGGUUGGCUUAUCUUCCACGUGUGCUCAAUUUAAGCUCUGGCCCGUGGAAGAGGGGUGCUCCGUCUGUUUCUCAUUUGAGCAGACUCCACAACAGGGCCCUCCUUUUCUUUCUGGGGUCUAGUGUCAGGGACUUAACGUUCCUGUAUUUGAAUGUCAAAAAACAAAGCAAAAUAAUGGCGGGUCACGGCUGGGUGAGAAGCAGAGAGAAGCCCUCCUCCUCCCGCGUGGCAGGAGAGGCUGUGCCGAGGGCUCUGGCGGUUCAAUCAGCCUCGCUUUGCAAGGUCGCCUGGACUUGCAGGGAGCUGCCUUCGGUCACCAAGGUGAGGGCCUUUGAGGGUCCUGAAGGGGCUUCCCAUUGGCCCUGA
rnacentral:lncRNA from 1 species